AUGCAUCACACCUGGUGUAUCCCAAUGAGUGGAGAAAAAAAGUUUAAAGGAGCAGCUGCCAACUUUUCAGAAACACGAUCACCUUCCCUCCUCCUGCAAACAGUAGGUACCAUUAUUUUCUCCAAUUUACUGAUGAAAUAGAGGCAGAAAAUGGCUCCGUAAUUUGCUCAAGUAUUUCGUUGCUCAGCUAGUAAAUGGCAAAGCUGGAACAUGAACUACUAACUUGUACACUCUCCUGCUUCUCCAGAUACACUGAAAAAAGGCAGGCGGCACUGUUCGUGAGAUGCAUGAGCUUUGCACUGUGGUCCAGCACAUCUCUGUUGUAGGCUUCCUCAUGCCUGAUCCUGAAAGGGUCACUCCUACCCUUUCCAAAAACCACUACAGGUACAGCGGGACACUAAUCCCUUCAGGUUCACCUGAUGUUAGGGACCAAAUAAAAGCUUGGAAAGGU
rnacentral:lncRNA from 10 species